rnacentral:tRNA from 1 species
GGCUGUGUGGCGUAAUGGCUUAGCGUACCAGAUUGUCUCUCUGGGGGUAAGGGUUCGAUUCCCUUCAUAGUCG